CAAUUAUACCGUGAAACUGCGAAUGGCUCAUUAAAUCAGUUAUCGUUUAUUUGAUAGUACCUUACUACUUGGAUAACCGUGGUAAUUCUAGAGCUAAUACAUGCUGAAAACCCCAACUUCGGGAGGGGUGUAUAUAUUAGAUAAAAAACCAACGCCCUUCGGGGCUUCUUGGUGAUUCAUGAUAUCUUUACGGAUCGCAUGGCCUUGCGCCGGCGACGGUUCAUUCAAAUUUCUGCCCUAUCAACUUUCGAUGGUAAGGUAUUGGCUUACCAUGGUUUCAACGGGUAACGGGGAAUUAGGGUUCGAUUCCGGAGAGGGAGCCUGAGAAACGGCUACCACAUCCAAGGAAGGCAGCAGGCGCGCAAAUUACCCAAUCCCGACACGGGGAGGUAGUGACAAUAAAUACUGAUACAGGGCUCUUUUGGGUCUUGUAAUUGGAAUGAGUACAAUUUAAACCUCUUAACGAGGAACAAUUGGAGGGCAAGUCUGGUGCCAGCAGCCGCGGUAAUUCCAGCUCCAAUAGCGUAUAUUAAAGUUGUUGCAGUUAAAAAGCUCGUAGUUGAACCUUGGGUCUGGCUGGCAGGUCCGCCUCACCGCGUGUACUUGUCCGGCCGGGCCUUCCUUCUGGAGAACCUCAUGCCCUUCACUGGGCGUGUUGGGGACCAGGACUUUUACUUUGAAAAAAUUAGAGUGUUCAAAGCAGGCCUUUGCUCGAAUACGUUAGCAUGGAAUAAUAGAAUAGGACGUGCGGUCCUAUUUUGUUGGUUUCUAGGACCGCCGUAAUGAUUAAUAGGGACAGUCGGGGGCAUCAGUAUUCAAUUGUCAGAGGUGAAAUUCUUGGAUUUAUUGAAGACUAACUACUGCGAAAGCAUUUGCCAAGGAUGUUUUCAUUAAUCAGUGAACGAAAGUUAGGGGAUCGAAGACGAUCAGAUACCGUCGUAGUCUUAACCGUAAACUAUGCCGACUAGGGAUCGGGCGAUGUUCUUUUUCUGACUCGCUCGGCACCUUACGAGAAAUCAAAGUUUUUGG
rnacentral:rRNA from 1 species